GACGAACGCUGGCGGCGUGCCUAAUACAUGCAAGUCGAACGCACUCUCGUUUAGAUUGAAGGAGCUUGCUCCUGAUUGAUAAACAUUUGAGUGAGUGGCGGACGGGUGAGUAACACGUGGGUAACCUGCCCUAAAGUGGGGGAUAACAUUUGGAAACAGAUGCUAAUACCGCAUAAAACCUAACACCGCAUGGUGUAGGGUUGAAAGAUGGUUUCGGCUAUCACUUUAGGAUGGACCCGCGGUGCAUUAGUUAGUUGGUGAGGUAAAGGCUCACCAAGACCGUGAUGCAUAGCCGACCUGAGAGGGUAAUCGGCCACACUGGGACUGAGACACGGCCCAGACUCCUACGGGAGGCAGCAGUAGGGAAUCUUCCACAAUGGACGAAAGUCUGAUGGAGCAACGCCGCGUGAGUGAGAAGGUUUUCGGAUCGUAAAACUCUGUUGUUGGAGAAGAAUGUAUCUGAUAGUAACUGAUCAGGUAGUGACGGUAUCCAACCAGAAAACC
rnacentral:rRNA from 1 species